GCCCGGAUGGCGAAAUGGUAGACGCGCACGCUUCAGGUGCGUGUGAGCGUAAGCUCAUGGAGGUUCAAGUCCUCUUCCGGGCA
rnacentral:tRNA from 1 species